AAGUCGUAACAAGGUUUCCGUAGGUGAACCUGCGGAAGGAUCAUUAUCGAGUUUUGAAAGGGGUUGUAGCUGGCCUUCCGAGGCAUGUGCACGCCCUGCUCAUCCACUCUAACACCUGUGCACCUUUUGUGGGCUCAUGGAGGGCAACCUCCUGGCCUGCGUCUCACACACACGCUUAAAGUAUAAGAAUGUAUAACCGCAUUGUAUGAUGCAUUAUUAAUACAACUUUCAACAACGGAUCUCUUGGCUCUC
rnacentral:misc_RNA from 1 species